GCUGGAUCAGUGGGAGCCAGGUUUCUGGACUUCAGAUUAUCUCGAUUGACUUCUUUCUUGGACUGGAGUUAUUUGAUCUCUGGCCAAAAUGGUCACAUGGAAAAACAAGGCAAUAAAGUGUUCAGUGGCUAGAAGAACUACAUGAUAUGAGACUGUUGGCCUGAAAGUACUCAAUUUGACCAAUAUCCAAGGAAGCACUGGCCAGAUUUCUAGGA